CAUGUGCCAUCGUCUUACUUUGGCAAGGGAUCUGCUUGACGGAAUAACCGUUCAGCAUGCAGGUGGCUCUAGAGGGGAUUACGUCAUAAACAUGCUGAUCAGGUACAUGGCCGAGUCGUCCGCAACGCGGUUCUUGAAUCUGCCUCCUUGAGCUGAUUCGGGAGAUUAGAUAUUGUGUCGGGAAGGACGAGGAGCAGGAGCAUUGGUUCAGAUUUUCUCUAUUGUCCUUGUGUUUGUUUACUGAUUAUUGGCUUGACAUGAAGAUUGAUCAGUAUGUUUUCCAAGCUACAUGGCCUGUUGCAACGCUCUUCGGAGUCAAACCCUUGGGUGGUGGCGACGGUGAUUACGACGACGGGUUGUGGGCCUACCAGAGGGUGCGGCAGGCGGCAGUGCAAGGCGACUCAUAGCGGGGCGUGGGGCCGAUGUUCGCAGCAGUGGCGGGAGUGAGCAUGGUGUAGGCAGCUGCCAGAUGUCGUGCGGGCGGUAGCCAGCGUGGACACGCAGAUGUUCAUCCGGGA